AGAAUCAACGCUGGCGGCGUGCCUAACACAUGCAAGUCGCACGAGAAAGGGGCUUCGGCUCUGAGUAAAGUGGCGCACGGGUGAGUAACACGUGAAUAAUCUACCUCCGAGUGGGGAAUAACUGAGAGAAAUCUUAGCUAAUACCGCAUAACACUUACGAGUCAAAGCAGCAAUGCGCUUGGAGAGGAGUUCGCGGCCGAUUAGUAGUUGGCGGGGUAAUGGCCCACAAGACGAUGAUCGGUA
rnacentral:rRNA from 1 species